rnacentral:rRNA from 1 species
CCAGAAGCAGGUAGCUUAACCUUCGGGAGGGCGCUUGCCACGGUGUGGCCGAUGACUGGGGUGAAGUCGUAACAAGGUAGCCGUAUCGGAAGGUGCGGCUGGAUCACCUCCUUUUGAG